rnacentral:rRNA from 1 species
GACGAAGGGGGCUAGCGUUGUUCGGAAUUACUGGGCGUAAAGCGCGUGUAGGCGGUUGUUCAAGUCGGGUGUGAAAGCCUUGAGCUCAACUCAAGAAAUGCACUCGAUACUGGAUGACUAGAGGACCGGAGAGGAUAGUGGAAUUCCCAGUGUAGUGGUGAAAUACGUAGAGAUUGGGAGGAACACCAGUGGCGAAGGCGGCGACCUGGGCCAAUACUGACGCUGAGGUGCGAAAGCGUGGGGAGCAAACAGG